UUUUCUUCACACCAUAAGCCUUUCUUUCUCUCUCUAACUUCUCUCUAGCCUCCCUAAACCCCUCCCAAGUCUACGGAACCUCCCUAGCACGAGAAGAAAGCCCCGGAGCGCCCGACGGCUCCGAGAAGAAAAGUUUUCGGCUUGGAAACGCUGCUCCAGCGAAGCCCGGUUUUUAAUAAAAACUCGCUGUUUUGUCGAGGAAAAUUGUUUUGAGAUAACGAAGUGAUGUCUGAGUUUGGAAUCACCACCUAAUCAGGUGUUGAUAUGAAGUGACAUUACACUGAGAGAUUUAAAGAGAUGUAGAUCACUGGUGUAAAUAAUUGUAAGUUCUGUUUAUGCUUAUGUUUCUGUAUUAACGAUGACAUCCCAAACGUUUUAAAAUGAAAUAAAUACGUUUCUUCGAAAAUGUUUUAAUAACGUAUUUACCAUGUUUUUCUGGGAACAAAUUCCGCAACAUUUUUAUAAAAUGAAGUACUCUGAUUUUUAUAAAGCAUAAACAACAUCGGUCUUUUUUGGCCGUGAAAAUGUGGAUGUCACAAUUUCAUCCAAAGAUCACAUCAAGUUACAUACUAGUGGUAAGAUCUUGCAAACAUAUUUCCUUUCUACACUCAUUCGCUCUUCUUACCACCUUAAAUUCUUGAUCAUACUCCUAGAAACAUACUAAGUUCGAGAUCCACCCAAAAAAGCUUGUUAGGGCCGAAAAUAGCAUCAAACUCUUCCAUUUCUUUCUUCAAACCGAAAACAACAAGAAAAGGUAAGUCCAUACCCCUCUAUUUUCGGUUUUCACAUGUUUUAUAGGGGAGAAUACAAGUAAAAUGUGUAGAUCUAUGUGUAUUUGUAUGUUCUAUGUGAUUUCUUGUGUUUAUGUGAUAAAUAUGUGCCAAAAAUGAAAGAUAUUUCGAUAUCUAUAGUUCAAGAAAGAAAAAUAUAUGAUCUAGGAUGUAUUACACUUAACAAGUUAAGAAAAACUACCAUAUAAGGUUUAUAAUAAGCAUGUUACAACAUAAAAUUCAUUAUUGGACUAUUUUUGUCAAAUAAACAAAAGUUGGGGAAAAAGUUGUCAUUUACGAUUUUUACAAGGCUCAAAAGGUCAAAACAGUUAAAAUAGAAGUUUUUAUGAGCAUUAUGCUUUUCAAAGAUCUAAAACUGUAAAUUGUAGCCGAUUUGGCUAAAAUUUUGGGCUUUUCGGCCCAUAGGCCCAAUUUUGCAAAAAAUAUGGUUUUAAGGGGCCGAAAUGAUAAAUUUCUCAAAACAACGGGUAAAAAGUAAAUAAAUCUAUUUCAGGGGUUAAAAUGACCUUAAUUGCCAAAAAGGAUUAAAAAUGUAAAGUUUUUGGGUUUUGGGUCAAAGUUGUAAAAGUUGCGAAAAGUUUGGAUUAUAAAUGAAAAUCUUUUU